GUUGGGAUGCGUUCAAAACAUGUUAAUACGUUAACCCUUGACGUAGAAUAAGUUUAUAGAAAUAUUACAAAAUAUUUUUUUCCUGCGUUUCUUUUAACAUUGUGAUAAGCGUAAUUAAUAAACAAUUAAAUAAACUGAAUUUUAAGAUUUAUUUUAUUUCUAUACAUAGUCAGGUGAAAAAUGGGCAUUCUUCUUUAAUCAAGUAAGUUUUUAAUCAGAUUAUUAAUACAAUUAUAAAGGCAUUUGAUUACGCCCAUCUUUAAUAUUACGCAUAUUAUGAAAUGUCAUUUACUAGUUUAUAUUUUUUAACCAAAAACUGAAUGAAUAUUAGCUUUAAAAGUUCGUGCCAUGUAAAAUUAACACUGGCCUUCAAGCUGCGCAAAGGCGAUUUAUCGGUCUAUUUGGUGGUAUGAGGUCGGGGGCAGGGUGUGUGUAU
rnacentral:misc_RNA from 1 species